AUUUGAAGAGGAGUGGGUGGUCAAGUAGGCGAAUGAGAUGUGAGAUUGCGCACUGUUGAUGCGCGUGGCUCGCACCACUCCAGACUUGUUUCGCAGAGCGAGCGUGGUUGCCUAACGAGGCGCAUCUCUUUCUUUAUAAUUCCGCUCGGCCACUAUAUAUACAAAUUCCCGCCGUCCUUCAAAAACACCAAAAAAAAAGGAAAUAAAAAACAAACCAUAAAAAAGGAAUUACAAAAUUUUUCCCCUUCUCUCUCUCUCUCAAUUUUAAAAAAAAAAAUAUUCUCAUUAUAUUCCCUCUUAAUUAAAAUUAUUUCUUCCAAACAAAAUUUUCAUCCCCUUCUCUUUAUAUUUACCAUUUGUGAUUAAGUGACAAGUUUUAGGAAAAAAAACUGUGACAAACGUUAAUUGUAAAAUAAAAUAAUUAUUGUGAAUUUAAAAAAAUUGUUUGAUCGAAGAAAAAUUAUUGACAUUGCUAGUGACCUUGUAGUUGAAAUUGAGUUUAGAAAAAAGAAGAGAGAAAAAAAAAGGUUGUGACCGCAAACCAGGUGUAGAUCCAAUUACUUUGUAGACCUCGAGGAACCUUGGUCGUUUGUUAAGUCUAUUGUUGACAUUGUUCCAAAAAGGGGCACGUGAAUUCCAAACUGGGUGUGCGAUAGGUGUUUUCAUUAAGGGUGAGAGAAUGUUAUAACAUUUUGUUUUCAAGAAAGUAGAAAGUUUUGCUGCUAAAUUUCGCGAGUGUCGUGAAUUUUUAUUUGUUUCCGUUUUUUUUCAAUAUUGGUGAAAUUCGUGAGUUAUUGUGUCUUUUUUUUUGAUAAAAUUUUGAGAACAAUAAUUUUUGAGUGAUUAAAAGUUUUUUAUUUAGUGCUGUUAAAUGUAUAUACAGUGACAUUGGAUUUUGAGGUUUGAAACUGCCAUCAAAACAAGAGCGCAUUGUCAACUGUUUUGAAGAAUUAUCGGUGUUGGGAAAUUGCUCCAAUAUCGAAAUACCCUUAAGGAAUUUCUUAUGCCGCUGCUCUCUUGGCCACCCUUUGUUAUUG